rnacentral:tRNA from 1 species
GGUUUAGCUCAGCGGCAUAAGCGCCUGCCUUGCAAGCAGGCGGUCAUGAGUUCGAUCCUCGGUACCG